AUUCUAGAGCUAAUACAUGCUGUAAAGCCCGACUUCACGGAAGGGCCGUAUUUAUUAGAUAACAGACCAAUAUUCCUCGUGUCUAUUGUGGUGAAUCAUAGUAACUAAUCGGAUCGCAUGGGCUAGUCCCGCGACAAACCAUUCAAGUUUCUGCCCCAUCAGCUUUCGAUGGUAGUGUAUUGGACUACCAUGGCUUUUACGGGUAACGGAGGAUUAGGGUUCGAUUCCGGAGAGGGAGCCUGAGAAACGGCUACCACAUCUAAGGAAGGCAGCAGGCGCGUAAAUUACCCAAUCCUAAUUCAGGGAGGUAGUG
rnacentral:rRNA from 1 species